rnacentral:rRNA from 1 species
UACGUAGGGCGCAAGCGUUGUCCGGAAUUAUUGGGCGUAAAGAGCUCGUAGGCGGCUUGUCACGUCGGAUGUGAAAGCCCGGGGCUUAACCCCGGGUCUGCAUUCGAUACGGGCUAGCUAGAGUGUGGUAGGGGAGAUCGGAAUUCCUGGUGUAGCGGUGAAAUGCGCAGAUAUCAGGAGGAACACCGGUGGCGAAGGCGGAUCUCUGGGCCUUACCUGACGCUGAGGAGCGAAAGCAUGGGGAGCAAACAGG